AAAUAAAUUUUUUAUGGUUUUAAAAAUUUAUUUUAAAUUUAUUUUACAUAUAAAUUUUAGUGUUAAAUUUAAAUUAUUUUAAUAAUAAUUUAAUUAAUUUAAUAGUAAUUAAUAUUAAAUUAUUUAAGAAAUUAAGAUUUAGUAAUAUUUUAAUUAAUAACAAAUUUUGUGCCAGCAGUUGCGGUUAUACAAAAAUUAAAUUAAAUUUUAUUAGUAAUUAAUAAAUAGUUGAUAAUUUAUAAUAAAAAUUUUAAAUUAUUAAGUGAAAUUUUAAUUUAAUGAAAUUUUAUAAUUUAAUUAUGAUUUAAUAAAUUUUAUAAAAAACUAGGAUUAGAUACCCUAUUAUUAAAAUUUAAAAUUAAAAUACUAAAAUAGUAAAUAAUUAUUUAUUGAAACUUAAAUAAUUUGGCGGUAUUUUAGUUCAUUUAGAGGAAUCUGUUUAAUAAUUGAUAAUCCACGAAUAAAUUUGCUUAAUUUAUAAUUUUGUAUAUCGUUGUUAAAAAAAUAUUUUUUAAUAAAAUUAAUAUUUAAUAAUUAUUAUAAAAAUUUAAAUCAGAUCAAAGAUGCAGAUUAUAAUUAAGAAUAUAAUGGAUUACAAUAAAUUUAUUUAUAUGGAUAUUAAUUUGUAAUAAUUAAUUGAAAGUGGAUUUAAAUGUAAUUUUAUUUAAUUUAAUAAAAUGAUUAUAUAUUAAAAUAUGUACAUAUUGCCCGUCGCUUUCAUAUAAUAAUAAGUUGAAAUAAGUCGUAACAAAGUAGAGGUACUGGAAAGUGUUUCUAGAAAGAA
rnacentral:ncRNA from 1 species